rnacentral:rRNA from 1 species
GAUGAACGCUGGCGGCGUGCCUAAUACAUGCAAGUCGAACGAACACACCAGGACCUUGCUCCUCUGACUUUAUCGGCGGUCGGGUGCUUACCUCGUGUUUAACCUACCUCUCAGACUGGGAUACCUUCGGCAAACCGUAGCUAAUACCGGAUAAUAUAUUGACCCUCAUUGUUCCCUCGUUAAAUACGGUUUUUCUUUCACUUAUAGCUGGCUCCGCCCCCCAUUCGCUAGUUGGUAAGGUAACGGCUUACCAAGGCAACGAUGCGUAGCCGACCUGAAAGGGAGAACGGACACACUGGAAGUGAGACAGGGUACAGACACAGACGGGAGGAAGCAGUAGGGAAUCUUACGCAAGGGGCGAAAGGCGGACGGAGCAAAGCCGCGGGAGUGAUGAAGGACUUAGGAUCGUAAAACGAUGUUAGUAGGGAAGAAGAAAUGUGUAAGUAACUAUGCACGUAUUGACGGUACCGAAUCAGAAAGCCACGGCUAACUACGUG